CCUACGGGCGGCAGCAGUGAGGAAUAUUGGUCAAUGGACGAGAGUCUGAACCAGCCAAGUAGCGUGAAGGAUGACUGCCCUAUGGGUUGUAAACUUCUUUUAUAUGGGAAUAAAAUGUUCCACGUGUGGGAUUUUGUAUGUACCAUAUGAAUAAGGAUCGGCUAACUCCGUGCCAGCAGCCGCGGUAAUACGGAGGAUCCGAGCGUUAUCCGGAUUUAUUGGGUUUAAAGGGAGCGUAGGUGGAUUGUUAAGUCAGUUGUGAAAGUUUGUGGCUCAACCGUAAAAUUGCAGUUGAAACUGGCAGUCUUGAGUACAGUAGAGGUGGGCGGAAUUCGUGGUGUAGCGGUGAAAUGCUUAGAUAUCACGAAGAACUCCGAUUGCGAAGGCAGUUCACUGGACUGCAACUGACACUGAGGCUCGAAAGUGUGGGUAUCAAACAGGAUUAGAUACCCCAGUAGUC
rnacentral:rRNA from 1 species